rnacentral:lncRNA from 1 species
GUACCGGUUCAGACUCUCUAUUCUGAAUUACUCUUAUUCUCUGAUUUCAGGGAAGCAGCGGAAAGCGGGGAAGUGAUACAGAGAGCCGUGUCGCCGGAAAAAGGCGUCCCUCCUGGGGAAAUGGGUGGACAGGGACAUGAUCGCGAGCAGCAAGCGGCCGGGGCUGGAGGGCGGGGGCGGUGGCGAGCUGCGGCUGAGCCGGCACCUGGCCCGGAUCAGCCAGGACACCGUCUGGACCCCGAACGAGCUCAUCAACGGCUCCAUCAUCCUGGCGCACCGGCCCCCCGACGGCGACCCGCCCGAAGCCACCGCCGCCCGCUUCGCCGACGAGAGGCAAAUGCGACGCGUCUUUACCUUGCUCUACGACGUUUUCAGAUAUAAAAAUAUUCUGUCUGAGGUCUUAGAGAAUGUACAAUUUUUUGAUAAACAUCCAGAGUACGAAAAAGAGUGUUGCCUGGUAUGGCUGCUCUGCUACGAUCUGCUCAAGCGGAACUUCAAGCCCCGGGACUUGAAGACCCUGAUGGAGGACAAGCGGCUAGCGGGGACCCAGACGAAGGCCAUCGAUGACUGUCUGUGGCGCUACAGGGUCCAUCUGGGGCCUCCGUGGCCAGGAUCCGAAUAA